rnacentral:tRNA from 3 species
GCCCUUGUAGUUCAACGGAUAGAACGGCGGUUUCCUAAACCGCAAAUCCGGGUUCGAUUCCCGGCGAGGGUACAA